AACCAGGGAAUGAAGUUCUCCCCCGGGAUCUCCCGAAACCGCUGAAAGGCUGAUGACUUCUGCGAU
rnacentral:ncRNA from 1 species